AGUAAAUAAUUCCUUAAUGUGGAUGAAAAAGUUUUAGUUCCAUCAGCAGAUAAAUGAAAAUGUUCUGAAAUCCUCCACCAGUAGAACAACUGCUUUUCCUUUCAAACAAACCUACAUCUUACUAAAAGUUACAGUUUGUCUUUUUCAAGCGUACUGAGGUAUCUGUACGUUGUCUGAACCUCAGGAGAUCAGACAGAAGAUCUGACCCAGACGAGGCGACUCUUCGUUUCCUUCACUUCCUCUGCUGCCGCCACCAAACCUGCAGACGGACGAUCCGAAAACGCCGCAGAUCAUCGAUCACGACGUCUCCUGCUCACUGGCCGGCGCUCCUUCUGGUUUCACCUCAGGAACAUCUGGAUGUUCUGCCGCUGCUGCUCCUCGCUGGGAUGAAGCAGCUGAUGGUGUGAACAGAUCUGUCGCUGCAGUAACUCAUCUCUGAGUCGCUGUGAUGGAUUCAGGCCCGACGCAGGAGUCCAGAGCUUCAGUCGGCUGAUUUAUGAUCGCUGCAGCCGGGAGGGAAAAGUUUGUAGGAAUCAUUUUGUGCUUCAUUGAGUCCCGUCGCUCCUCAGAGCGUCUCGCACAGAAACAUCAGUUCAUGCAUCAUCACGAAGCAGAGCGCGGAUCGCAUGGGAAUCCGGCUCUAAUCCAAAGGCUGAAUGUUUUCCCUCCAGCAUCUUUUCCAACAUGUUUGGUCCAAACAGCAGCCUGGAUCUUUAACGGCGCCUGAAUGACGGAGUUUGACCUCCGGCGUCUGAGAUCAAACCUGCCUGCAGGAUCUGGACUCCUGAACCGGAAAACUGAGAGCCGGAGUCUGGAUACAACAUUCCUGUGUGCGUCACAACGAGCUGCUGUCGCUCGGCGCCGGCCGAUCCACUUUGUUUCCAAUCCGAACACAGAGCGAGGGUCAGUCAAAGUACGGGGCCACAUGCUCAGCUUACGGGGUAGCCUGGGAGGAAGAACCAGAACCAGAACCCUCCUGUAAGCCGUUCAACCAGGACAGGCUCACAGGCGACCUUUGACCUCUGAGGUGUGAUCCAGCUGCAGGAUUUAAAACGGUAAUCAGCGGAAUCUGUUGUCUAGAGGAGGAACAAGCAGAUGGUGAACUUAUAUUAUUCAGUUUAAAUGGACUGAUGUGAACUCAUGCAGUCAUUUUCAUCACUCAAAGCGAUUUACACUGGAGUCACAUUCACUCAGUCACAUUCACUCAUUCACUCAGUCACACACCGAUCCACCCAGGUCCACUUCGACAUGAGGCAGCUGGAAUCGAACCUACAACCUUCCGGCCACACGACGACCCUCCACCCACAGAGCCACGGUUUAACUGUCACGCUCAGCAAAUAUUUAGUUUUGAAUAUUUUAAACCGGUUCUGCACUAACUGACCUAAUAAGCCAUUAAUCAAUAAUUAAUCGUAUCAUUUAAUUGCAUCUCUGCUUCGGUCGUGUCAGAAAAGCAGGAAGUUGGUGCAGUAAAGCUGUUAACACUGAGAUCAACCUUUGACCCCCCCGGUGUCUCCUGAGUACAGGUGGUCUCCAUGGCAACCACCUGCCCCUUCCAGCAGCGUCUCGGUGACCUGCUUCAUGUUUCCUGAUGGGUGGAGGUGAUUUAUCGGCCUCUGCACCGACUGCAGCGACGCCUUCUCCCUGAAGCGGCGGCCAGCCGGCGGCUGACACCGUCAGAUCGCCGCCGUGACGCCGCCGUCGUGACGCCGCCGCCGUGAUGCCGCCGCCGCCGCAGCUCGUUCAUCAGCCUGACCUCUUUCUGGGACGGAUUCCCUUCGUUUUACCGCUGGAACACGAUCAGGUCGUCUGACCUGGUUUGAAAUGUCAGAGAUCCUGGAUGCUCCUGAGGAAACUGCUGAUCAUCAGGAACCAGAUUUAAACUGGAUGGAUCCGAAGAGCAGAAACUGAACCCGGACAGGAAGCUCCAGACUGACCUCUGAUGACCUCUGACUGACCUCUGAUGACCUCUGACUGACCUCUGAUGACCUCUGA